rnacentral:tRNA from 1 species
CCUUCAAUAGCUCAGCUGGUAGAGCAGAGGACCAUAAAUCCUUAGUCGCUGGUUCAACUCCAGCUUGAAGGG